rnacentral:rRNA from 1 species
UAAUUGAAGAGUUUGAUCAUGGCUCAGAUUGAACGCUGGCGGCAGGCCUAACACAUGCAAGUCGAGCGGUAACAGGGGAAGCUUGCUUCUCGCUGACGAGCGGCGGACGGGUGAGUAAUGUAUGGGGAUCUGCCCGAUAGAGGGGGAUAACCACUGGAAACGGUGGCUAAUACCGCAUAAUCUCUUAGGAGCAAAGCAGGGGAACU